rnacentral:rRNA from 1 species
AACGAACGCUGGCGGCAGGCCUAACACAUGCAAGUCGAGCGAGCAUUUCGGUGCUAGCGGCGGACGGGUGCGUAACGCGUGGGAACGUGCCCUUUUCUGCGGAAUAUUCCUUGGAAACUGGUGGUAAUACCGCAUACGCCCUUUUGGGGAAAGAUUUGUCGGAGAAGGAUCGGCCCGCGUUGGAUUAGGUAGUUGGUGGGGUAAUGGCCCACCAAGCCGACGAUCCAUAGCUGGUUUGAGAGGAUGAUCAGACACACUGGGACUGAGACACGGCCCAGACUGCGACGGGAGGCAGCAGUGGGGAAUAUUAGACAAGGGGGGCAACACAGAACUAGCCAUGCCGCGUGAGUGAUGAAGGCGUGAGGGUUGAAAAGCUCUUUCAGCUGGGAAGAUAAUGACGGUACAAGCAGAAGAAGCCCCGGCUAACUGCG